CCUACGGGGUGCUGCAGUGGGGAAUAUUGCACAAUGGGCGAAAGCCUGAUGCAGCAACGCCGCGUGAAGGAAGACGGUUCUCGGAUUGUAAACUUUCGUUUUUCGUGAAGAAUAAUGACGGUAACUUAGGAGCAAGCCACGGCUAACUACGUGCCAGCAGCCGCGGUCAUACGGAGGUGGCAAGCGUUGUCCGGAAUUACUGGGUGUAAUGGGAGUGUAGGGGGGAAGCCAAGUCAGCUGUGAAAAUUUCGGGCUUAACCUGUAGAGUGCAGUCGAAACCGGCUUUCUUGAGUGAAGUAGAGGGAGGCGGAAUGCGGGGUGUAGCGGUGAAAUGCAUAGAUAUUACGAAGAACACCGAUGGCGAAGGCAGCAAACUGGGCUUUAGCUGACGCUGAGGCUCGAAAGUGUGGGGAGCAAACAGGAUUAGAUACCCUUGUAGUC
rnacentral:rRNA from 1 species